UGGGGUAUAGCCAAGUGGUAAGGCACCGGGUUUUGAUCCCGGCAUUCCCAGGUUCGAAUCCUGGUACCCCAG
rnacentral:tRNA from 1 species